UAGUUGGUGGGGUAAAGGCAUACCAAGGCAACGAUCAGUAGCUGGUCUGAGAGGAUGAGCAGCCACACUGGGACUGAGACACGGCCCAGACUCCUACGGGAGGCAGCAGUGGGGAAUUUUCCGCAAUGGGCGAAAGCCUGACGGAGCAAGACCGCGUGGGGGAGGAAGGCUCUAGGGUUGUAAACCCCUUUUCUUUGGGAAGAAGUACUGACGGUACCAAAGGAAUCAGCCUCGGCUAACUCCGUGCCAGCAGCCGCGGUAAUACGGAGGAGGCAAGCGUUAUCCGGAAUGAUUGGGCGUAAAGCGUCCGCAGGUGGCCAUGUAAGUCUGCUGUCAAAACCCAGGGCUCAACUCU
rnacentral:rRNA from 1 species